rnacentral:rRNA from 1 species
UGGGGAAUCUUGCACAAUGGGGGCAACCCUGAUGCAGCGACGCCGCGUGAGCGAUGAAGCCCUUCGGGGCGUGAAGCUCUUUCGACCGGAACGAUAAUGACGGUACCGGGAGAAGAAGCUGCGGCUGACUACGUGCCAGCAGCCGCGGUAAUACGUAGGGGGCAAGCGUUGUCCGGAUUUACUGGGUGUAAAGGGCGCGCAGGCGGAAUGGAAAGUCAGUGGUGAAAUCCUACAGCUUAACUGUAGAACUGCCUUUGAUACUUUCAUUCUUGAGUUCGGGAGAGAGAGACCGAAUUCCAGGUGUCGUGGUGAAAUACGUAGAUAUCUGGAAGAACACCAGUUGCGAAGGCGGUCUCUUGGUCCGAUACUGACGCUGAGGCGCGAAAGCGUGGGGAGCAAACA